GAUGAACGCUAGCUACAGGCUUAACACAUGCAAGUCGAGGGGAAACGACAUCGAAAGCUUGCUUUUGAUGGGCGUCGACCGGCGCACGGGUGAGUAACGCGUAUCCAACCUGCCCACCACUUGGUGAUAACCUUGCGAAAGUAAGACUAAUACCCAAUGACGUCUCUAGAAGACAUCUGAAAGAGAUUAAAGAUUUAUCGGUGAUGGAUGGGGAUGCGUCUGAUUAGCUUGUUGGCGGGGUAACGGCCCACCAAGGCGACGAUCAGUAGGGGUUCUGAGAGGAAGGUCCCCCACAUUGGAACUGAGACACGGUCCAAACGCCUACGGGAGGAAGCAGUGAGGAAUAUUGGUCAAUGGACGAGAGUCUGAACCAGCCAAGUAGCGUGCAGGAUGACGGCCCUAUGGGUUGUAAACUGCUUUUAGAAGGGAAUAAAGUGAGUCUCGUGAGACUUUUUGCAUGUACCUUAUGAAUAAGGACCGGCUAAUUCCGUG
rnacentral:rRNA from 1 species